rnacentral:rRNA from 1 species
GCACGAAAGGCGUAAUGAUUUGGGCACUGUCUCAACGAGAGACUCGGUGAAAUUUUAGUACCUGUGAAGAUGCAGGUUACCCGCGACAGGACGGAAAGACCCCAUGGAGCUUUACUGCAGUUUGAUAUUGAGUGUCUGUACCACAUGUACAGGAUAGGUAGGAGUCUAUGAGAUCGGGACGCCAGUUUCGAAGGAGACGUUGUUGGGAUACUACCCUUGUGUUAUGGCCACUCUAACCCGGAUAGGUUAUCCCUAUCGGAGACAGUGUCUGACGGGCAGUUUGACUGGGGCGGUCGCCUCCUAAAAGGUAACGGAGGCGCCCAAAGGUUCCCUCAGAAUGGUUGGAAAUCAUUCGCAGAGUGUAAAGGUAUAAGGGAGCUUGACUGCGAGAGCUACAACUCGAGCAGGGACGAAAGUCGGGCUUAGUGAUCCGGUGGUUCCG